AUUGCUUCUCGGCCUUUUGGCUAAGAUCAAGUGUAGUAUCUGUUCUUAUCAGUUUAAUAUUUGCUAAGUCCUCCAUCAAGGGACAAUAUAGUAAAUGGAUUUUGGGAGCAGGGAGAUGGAAUAGGAGCUUGCUCUGUCCACUCUGGUAUUGCAGUACGUCCAGGAACGGUGCACCCCGU
rnacentral:snRNA from 1 species